rnacentral:rRNA from 1 species
GGGGGGGACGGUGUCGGAAUAUUGGGCGUAAGGGCUCGCAGGCGGUUUCUUAAGUCUGAUGUGAAAGCCCCCGGCUCAACCGGGGAGGGUCAUUGGAAACUGGGGAACUUGAGUGCAGAAGAGGAGAGUGGAAUUCCACGUGUAGCGGUGAAAUGCGUAGAGAUGUGGAGGAACACCAGUGGCGAAGGCGACUCUCUGGUCUGUAACUGACGCUGAGGAGCGAAAGCGUGGGGAGCGAACAGGAUUAGAUACCCUGGUAGUCCACGCCGUAAACGAUGAGUGCUAAGUGUUAGGGGGUUUCCGCCCCUUAGUGCUGCAGCUAACGCAUUAAGCACUCCGCCUGGGGAGUACGGUCGCAAGACUGAAACUCAAAGGAAUUGACGGGGGCCCGCACAAGCGGUGGAGCAUGUGGUUUAAUUCGAAGCAACGCGAAGAACCUUACCAGGUCUUGACAUCCUCUGACAAUCCUAGAGAUAGGACGUCCCCUUCGGGGGCAGAGUGACAGGUGGUGCAUGGUUGUCGUCAGCUCGUGUCGUGAGAUGUUGGGUUAAGUCCCGCAACGAGCGCAACCCUUGAUCUUAGUUGCCAGCAUUCAGUUGGGCACUCUAAGGUGACUGCCGGUGACAAACCGGAGGAAGGUGGGGAUGACGUCAAAUCAUCAUGCCCCUUAUGACCUGGGCUACACACGUGCUACAAUGGACAGAACAAAGGGCAGCGAAACCGCGAGGUUAAGCCAAUCCCACAAAUCUGUUCUCAGUUCGGAUCGCAGUCUGCAACUCGACUGCGUGAAGCUGGAAUCGCUAGUAAUCGCGGAUCAGCAUGCCGCGGUGGAAUACGUUUCCCGGGCCUUGUACACACCGCCCGUCACACCACGAGAGUUUGUAACACCCGAAGUCGGUGAGGUAACCUUUUAGGAGCCAGCCGCCGAAGGUGGGACAGAUGAUUGGGGUGAAUCUAAAAAGGAAACCCCACAUAUAUAAACCGGGAGAAAUAGGAGCGAUUGCUUUCGGAGCGCGAGGGGGAAACAGGGUAAAGG